rnacentral:rRNA from 1 species
AACGUAGGAGACAAACGUUAUCCGGAGUUACUGGGCGUAAAGGGCGUGUAGGUGGUUCGUAAGUCUGGCGUGAAAUUUUUCGGCUUAACCGGGAAAGGUCGUCGGAUACUGCGGGACUAGAGGACGGUAGAGGCGUGUGGAAUUCCGGGUGUAGUGGUGAAAUGCGUAGAGAUCCGGAGGAACACCAGUGGCGAAGGCGGGUCUCUGGACAGUUCCUGACACUGAGGCACGAAGGCCAGGGGAGCAAACGGG